rnacentral:rRNA from 1 species
GACGAACGCUGGCGGCGUGCCUAAUACAUGCAAGUAGAACGCACAGUUUAUACCGUAGCUUGCUACACCAUAGACUGUGAGUUGCGAACGGGUGAGUAACGCGUAGGUAACCUGCCUGGUAGCGGGGGAUAACUAUUGGAAACGAUAGCUAAUACCGCAUAAUAUUGAUUAUUGCAUGAUAAUUGAUUGAAAGAUGCUAUUGCAUCACUACCAGAUGGACCUGCGUUGUAUUAGCUAGUAGGUGAGGUAACGGCUCACCUAGGCGGCGAUACAUAGCCGACCUGGGAGGGUGAGCGGCCACACUGGGACGGGGACACGGCCCAGACUCCUACGGGAGGCAGCAGUAGGGAAUCUUCGGCAAUGGACGAAAGUCUGACCGAGCAACGCCGCGUGAGUGAAGAAGGUUUUCGGAUCGUAAAGCUCUGUUGUAAGAGAAGAACGGGUGUGAGAGUGGAAAGUUCACACUGUGACGGUAUCUUACCAGAAAGGGACGGCUAACUACGUG